UACAGAGGGUGCAAGCGUUGUUCGGAAUCACUGGGCGUAAAGGGCGCGUAGGCGGCUUUAUAAGUCGGGGGUGAAAGCCUGUGGCUCAACCACAGAAUUGCCUUCGAUACUGUAGAGCUUGAGACCGGAAGAGGUAAGUGGAACUGCGAGUGUAGAGGUGAAAUUCGUAGAUAUUCGCAAGAACGCCAGUGGCGAAGGCGGCUUACUGGUCCGGUUCUGACGCUGAGGCGCGAAAGCGUGGGGAGCAAACAGG
rnacentral:rRNA from 1 species